UACGGAGACUGCGAGCGUUACUCGGAUUCACUGGGCGUAAAGGGUGCGUAGGCGGCAAGAUGUGUCAGGUGUGAAAUCCCGGAGCUCAACUUCGGAAUUGCGCCUGAAACUGUCUAGCUAGAGUAUCGGAGGGGUAAGCGGAAUUCCUAGUGUAGCGGUGAAAUGCGUAGAUAUUAGGAGGAACACCAAUGGCGAAGGCAGCUUACUGGACGAUUACUGACGCUGAGGCACGAAAGCGUGGGGAGCAAAACGG
rnacentral:misc_RNA from 1 species